rnacentral:rRNA from 1 species
CCUACGGGUGGCAGCAGUGGGGGAUAUUGCACAAUGGGGGGAACCCUGAUGCAGCGACGCCGCGUGGGUGAAGAAGCGCCUCGGCGCGUAAAGCCCUGUCAGCAGGGAAGAAAAUGACGGUACCUGAAGAAGAAGCCCCGGCUAACUACGUGCCAGCAGCCGCGGUAAUACGUAGGGGGCAAGCAUUAUCCGGAUUUACUGGGUGUAAAGGGGGCGCAGACGGCGAUGCAAGCCAGGAGUGAAAGCCCGGGGCCCAACCCCGGGACUGCUCUUGGAACUGCGUGGCUGGAGUGCAGGAGGGGCAGGCGGAAUUCCGAGUGUAGCGGUGAAAUGCGUAGAUAUUCGGAGGAACACCGGUGGCGAAGGCGGCCAACUGGGCUUUAACUGACGCUGAGGCUCGAAAGUGUGGGGAGCAAACAGGAUUAGAUACCCGAGUAGUC